rnacentral:rRNA from 1 species
AGAGUUUGAUCAUGGCUCAGAUUGAACGCUGGCGGCAUGCCUUACACAUGCAAGUCGAACGGCAGCACGGGGGCAACCCUGGUGGCGAGUGGCGAACGGGUGAGUAACACAUCGGAAUGUACCCAGUGGUGGGGGAUAACGUACCGAAAGGUACGCUAAUACCGCGUACGACCUGCGGGUGAAAGCGGGGGACCUCGCAAGGGGCCUCGCGCCAUUGGAGCAGCCGAUGUCUGAUUAGCUAGUUGGUGAGGUAAGAGCUCACCAAGGCGACGAUCAGUAGCUGGUCUGAGAGGACGAUCAGCCACACUGGGACUGAGACACGGCCCAGACUCCUACGGGAGGCAGCAGUGGGGAAUUUUGGACAAUGGGCGCAAGCCUGAUCCAGCAAUGCCGCGUGUGCGAAGAAGGCCUUCGGGUUGUAAAGCACUUUUAUCGGGGAAGAAAUUCCGCGGGCUAAUACCCUGCGGCGAUGACGGUACCCGAGGAAUAAGCACCGGCUAACUACGUGCCAGCAGCCGCGGUAAUACGUAGGGUGCAAGCGUUAAUCGGAAUUACUGGGCGUAAAGCGUGCGCAGGCGGUUUCGUAAGACCGAUGUGAAAGCCCCGGGCUUAACCUGGGAACUGCAUUGGUGACUGCGAGGCUAGAGUGUGUCAGAGGGAGGUGGAAUUCCGCGUGUAGCAGUGAAAUGCGUAGAGAUGCGGAGGAACACCGAUGGCGAGCAGCCUCCUGGGAUAACACUGACGCUCNNGCACGAAAGCGUGGGGAGCAAACAGGAUUAGAUACCCUAGUAGUCC